CCAAUAUUAAUAAGUACAAGAGAGGACAUUUUUGGUAACAUUAAUAAUUGGUCAAUUGGUACUGGAAGAUAAAAUAUCAAUUGAGAUAUUUUAUUACUACUUGAUAUUAUAUAUUAUAUAUAUAUAUUAUAUAGUAUAUGUGUGGUGGAAAAGAAAAGAAGAAAAUGAUAAGAAGUAGUAGGAAGAGAUAAGAAGAAGGAGAGAGUUAUCAGAAAAGGGAAAAGAAGAGAAAGAGAAAGAAAGAGGAAAAGAGAAAGAAAAAGAAAGAAGAAAAGAGAAAGAGAAAGAAGAGGAGAAGAGGAAGGAACCAUCACCAUCAUCUCAUCUUCAUCAUCACCAACUUCAUCUUCUUCUUCUACUAGGUGAGUUCUUAGAUAGUUUUAGCAUUUGGGGGAAAAUAAUCUAUAUUUGUGGGGUUAGGGUUUGUGUAAAUUGGGAUAAACUUGUUGUGUGCAUACUCCCUAUCCAUGAUAUGUGUUGAAAAAUCAUGUUAUGUGGAAAUAGUAGGUAAAAAUGGUAUAUGGAAAGGAAAAUAAAAGAGGAGUUAUUUAAGGA
rnacentral:lncRNA from 1 species